UUGAUUGUGAUUUUCCUUGAUUAGCCAUUCAUAGUGACCCCUAUCUUGUCUUAUAGGAAAUAGCUUUUGGAUUCUUUUGAUUGCUACUAUUGUUUGUCCUUUGCAAUGCUUGAAUCAAUUGAAUAAACUAUCAAUUAGCAUGAUUAUUGAACUUGCAUGUUGAACCUACAUCCCUAGUGUUUAGUUUCUUGAAUUACUUGAUCAAUAUAGCUUUGUUACCAUAGUACCAACCAUUUUCUCACUACAAGCUUCGAAGUAGCUUGACUUAGGCUAUAUUUAAUACCGACUCACUCCUUUGGCUUCGACCCUCGACUUGCCUUAUACUCGUAUUAGGUUGGUUUAGGUUGUAUAAAUUGUAUUUUAUCUAGGGAUAGAUAAUUGAUGACACGUUUAUUCCUUUAUCAAAGAGGAGCAGGAAUCAAUAUUGAUUGGCUGAUGUUGUUGUUGACGAUGGAGUUAUUUUUUUGACCAGUUAUUACACUUAGAAUUCCCAUUUUUGUCUCUCUUAUUACAGUGAUUCGAUUUCUUCUGUUGUAGCAAAUUAACUUUCCAAAGGUUGAUUUUUUGCUUGACUCACUUCCGAUGUCGUCUUCUCUAAAGUGACAAUCUUGUUAUGGCGGAUUUGAUAAAGCGAGGUGGAUGCGGGUCAUUAUUUUCACUCGACUUGGUCGGAUAUAAACCGGGUGAGGAGAUAGCUUAGGAGGAAGUAGAUCAUGGUGGUGGUAGUGAAUUCAUUUGUUGGAAGAGAAGGAGAAGCAGUUGGAGAGAGAAAGAGGAGGGAGAGAAGGAGAAGCAGUAGGAGCGGCGGAUGAAGGUAGGUUUGUGAAUUAUUAGGGUUUCAUUUCCUUUUUAUAUUAUUUGUAGAUUAGGGAGACCGGUUAAGUUGUCACGGGUCUCUCCUAAUAAGUUUUUCAAUUUUUUUUAUAUAAAAUAAUGAGAAAUCGGUUAUAUACUAACGCAGGUCUCUCCUUUUAAAUUUUAAAAUAAAAAAAAUUAAGAGAGACCUGUUAUGUAAUAACACAGGUCUCUCCCUUUUAAAUUUAAAAUUAAAAAAAAUCAAGAGAGACCUGUUAUCUAUAUUAAAAGGUCACCGUUUAAUAUUCACUUCUUAAGACAAUACAAAAGAGACCCGUUUUUUGUAAUAUUGGGUCUCUUGAAACAAAGAGACCGGUUAUCUACUAAAACGAUCUCUUAUUUAAGGUCUCUUUGAGGAUUUUUGUAGUAAUGAUUGGUGAGUGAUGGAUGGUGGGAUAAACUUGAUUAUUUUCUUGAAUUUACACUACCCAUGAUGAACUUCUUGAGGGUUGCUGAUACAGACUCAUGUGUCUUACACUUAGUGUAUGACAUGAGGGAUACGAUGAUCGAACAGGUGAAAAAAGUUAUUUUCGAUAAUGAUGAUGCUGAUUAUCUCACAAGAUUGUCUCCGCACUACUACAUUUUUUAUCAAAUGCGACGGUAAAAAGAGAGCUAAUAAAACGACCCUUUUAUUACCAUUGCAUUAGAUAAGCCAUAUACAACGGCUUAUACUUUAGGGGGGCUAAUGCGACGACAUUAAGAAGCCGUUGCAUUAGGUGUGCUAAUACAACGGUUUGGAAGGCUGAUGCAACGGCAGUAGUCUUUAUCCACACAAUAAAGUUAAAUACAAGUACCUAAUUUUUUCUCCCACUCUUUUUCUGUUUCCCCUUCUCUCUAACUUUCUUUCUUUCUCCUCAGCUCCAUUAAAGCGACAUACUUCGAGUAUUCCAUUGACACGCACUCUGAGCUUUCUCUCCUCCACUAAAGCUGAGUUGAGUUGCGUAUUUUUUUUAAUAAUCAUCGAAUAACAAUUUAACAAUCUAGGAUUUCACUAUCUUUGAUUUUAUUGUCAAUAGAGAUAAUUUUGGGUUCUUUGGUUGAUUAACAAACUAUUUUUGAAUAUUAAUUCCUUUGAAUUUAUGGUGAUAUAAUUUCCUUGCUAUGUUUCACAUUUACUCGAGUUGUUGUGGAGCUUUUGACAACUAGAAGAAUUACCACUAUCAGCAACACUCGGAGAUCCAAUAUACUUCGCGCAGACCACCGCACCACCACAAGUGGAUGCCACCAAUGCUGCCGCAUCUGCAGCACUGCUAAGGGCUGGAUUGGCUUACUCUUUCACUAUGGUGUAUUUUGCCCAAAAGUGAGGGUAGAUGAAGGCAUGAAAUAGGAUUUACAAUGCAGCAAUGGAGAUACGGUUAAUAGAAAGGAGAGUAUUUUUUUAUUUCUUAAAGUUUUGAACCUGAAGUAUAUUAUAUUAACUUGUUUUAAACCCCCCUGUUUGCCUUUUGUGCGUGCAUUUGAAGCUCAAGUGCUUUGAAUAUUAAUUGAUGGGUUAGUGUCAAAUUAUAUUUGUUGAUUUUGUGAUUGGUUGCACAAUAUUGGUAGUGCAAUUAUGUCAUUGGAGUUUAGACUUUACUUUAAUUCAAUUAUUAGACUUGGAAGAAUGAGUAACUAUUAGCAUUUUUUGGAGUUUAGACUUUACUUGAAUUAAAUUCACAUAGGCAUGUGAUUUAGGUGUAGGAUAAAUUUUUAAUCCUAGUUCCCUUUUAUUACUUUGUAUCAUAUACUUAUAUGCCCUGUACCCAUCAGGUGUAAUGUUGCUGGUUUGUACUCGCUUAGAAGCAAGUUCGACACGUGUAUAUUAUGUUUUGGUAUAUUUCUUGCAUGUAAUUUGAUAUGCUUAACAAAACCUUUUCGGAUCCGUGGCGAAAUUAAGUUUGCAACUACUGGUGCCGUGUCGAGGCUGCUGCUGCGGCUGCUUGGCAAGGUUGCAGCUACUACUACACAGUUAGCUUUAAAAGGUUGCAGCUGCUACUGCCCUAUAGAGGUUAUUGUUGCCCUGGCAAGGCUGCAACUGCAGCUACAGCUGCUACCACUCUGCUACUACUUGUGAAUUUUAUGCUUUUGGAAAGCUGAGCAAAAAUAUUAAAUGUGAAAUUUUAUGCACUUGAAUUUUGAACAGUGAACUGCCACAUGAAUGGAGUUUCGGGUUAAAGAGGCAUGAAUAAGUAGAUGGAACAUGAAACAUUGAAAAUAAUACAAAAAGGGAGAACUGGGUUACUGUAAAGACAUUAGCCUCGUGGAUAUCCAAAUAUAUUUUAGUCAUGAGCUUUGAAUUUUCUCAAUUCCCUCUAUAUGGCAUUCUGGUUAUGUCCAUAUGGUUUAGGUGUUAGCUAGCAUAUAGUAACUAGUAAUAUCUACACUUUCAUUCCUUGAAUGUCCAAUCAUCCUCGUGUUUUAAAAAUCUAACUUAAACAACAAAAGAUUAAAGUAUUUGUUAUUCUUCUUCUUAUUAAACAGAGAGGCUGUAGAGAAGCUUUUUAAGGAUAUGCAUGAAGCGGGAAAUUGACUGCACUGGUUUUUUAACUUCUUUAACAGGGGAUUUAGAUCCAUUGGAUGUGUGUAAACACUGCUAGAGGUGGAUACUUAAACCGAAGAAGAUGCUUCCCGAAUUGCCUCACUUGAGAAAUUGGAGAAGUGGGAGAAAGAAAUAAUGAUGCGGUCCAAAGAAUUGCUUAAUGUAUUGUUUGGGGAUCAAUAUUAUUUAGUUUUAACUUUUAAUUGUUUUGUUCUUAGUUUAACUAGUGAUAAUUUAAUUUUGUAAUUUUCCUUAUA